GAUGAACGCUGGCGGCGUGCCUAAUACAUGCAAGUCGAGCGAACAGACGAGGAGCUUGCUCCUCUGACGUUAGCGGCGGACGGGUGAGUAACACGUGGAUAACCUACCUAUAAGACUGGGAUAACUUCGGGAAACCGGAGCUAAUACCGGAUAAUAUAUUGAACCGCAUGGUUCAAUAGUGAAAGACGGUUUUGCUGUCACUUAUAGAUGGAUCCGCGCCGCAUUAGCUAGUUGGUAAGGUAACGGCUUACCAAGGCAACGAUGCGUAGCCGACCUGAGAGGGGGACGGCCCCAACAGGACCUGACCCCCGUCCCAGCACCCUAGGGGGGGGAGAAGGAGGGAAUCUUCCGAAAGGGGGGAAACCCGGGGGGAGCAACGCCGGGGGGGGAAUGAAGGGUUUCGGAUUGAAAACCCCUUUUAUUGGGAAAAAAAAAAUGUGAAAGUAAAUAUGCCCGUUUUGCCGGUCCCUAAACAAAAAGCCACGGCAAACUAGGG
rnacentral:rRNA from 1 species